AUUGAACGCUGGCGGCAUGCCUUACACAUGCAAGUCGAACGGUAACGGGCCUUCGGGUGCCGACGAGUGGCGAACGGGUGAGUAAUACAUCGGAACGUGCCCGAUCGUGGGGGAUAACGAGGCGAAAGCUGUGCUAAUACCUCAUACGAUCUACGGAUGAAAGCAGGGGACCGCAAGGCCUUGCGCGGACUGAGCGGCCGAUGGCAGAUUAGGUAGUUGGGGGGAUAAAAGCUUACCAAGCCGACGAUCUGUAGCUGGUCUGAGAGGAUGAUCAGCCAAACUGGGACUGAGACACGGCCCAGACUCCUACGGGAGGCAGCAGUGGGGAAUUUUGGACAAUGGGCGCAAGCCUGAUCCAGCCAUGCCGCGUGCAGGAUGAAGGCCUUCGGGUUGUAAACUGCUUUUGUACGGAACGAAAAGCCUUCUUUUAAUACAGGAGGGUCAUGACGGUACCGUAAGAAUAAGCACCGGCUAACUACGUG
rnacentral:rRNA from 1 species